CCUACGGGUGUCUGCAGUGAGGAAUAUUGGUCAAUGGGCGAGAGCCUGAACCAGCCAAGCCGCGUGAGGGAGUACUGCACUGUGUGUUGUAAACCUCUUUUGUCGGGGAGCCAAAGCUGGACGUGUUCGGCUGUGAGAGUUACCGAAGAAAAAGCAUCGGCUAACUCCGUGCCAGCAGCCGCGGUUAUACGGAGGCUGCGAGCGUUUACCGGAUUUAUUGGGUUUAAAGGGUGCGCAGGCGGGUUUUUAAGUCAGCGGUCAAAUCGUGGGGCUCAACCCCAUCCAGCCGUUGAAACUGGGGAUCUAGAGUGUGAGAGAGGUAUGCGGAAUGCGUGGUGUAGCGGUGAAAUGCAUAGAUAUCACGCAGAACCCCGAUUGCGAAGGCAGCAUACCGGUGCACAACUGACGCUCAGGCACGAAAGCGUGGGUAUCGAACAGGAUUAGAUACCCUGGUAGUC
rnacentral:rRNA from 1 species